rnacentral:rRNA from 1 species
CUGUGAGGGGAGUGAAAUAGAUCCUGAAACCGCAUGCAUACAAGCAGUGGGAGCCGACUUGUUCGGUGACUGCGUACCUUUUGUAUAAUGGGUCAGCGACUUACAUUCAGUAGCGAGGUUAACCGAAUAGGGGAGCCGUAGAGAAAUCGAGUCUUAAUAGGGCGUUUAGUUGCUGGGUGUAGACCCGAAACCGGGUGAUCUAUCCAUGAGCAGGUUGAAGGUUGGGUAACACUAACUGGAGGACCGAACCCACUGUCGUUGAAAAGCCAGGGGAUGACUUGUGGAUAGGGGUGAAAGGCUAAUCAAACUCGGUGAUAGCUGGUUCUCCCCGAAAGCUAUUUAGGUAGCGCCUCGGACGAAUACCAUUGGGGGUAGAGCACUGUUUCGGCUAGGGGGUCAUCCCGACUUACCAAACCGAUGCAAACUCCGAAUACCAAUGAGUACUAUCCGGGAGACAGACUGCGGGUGCUAACGUCCGUAGUCAAGAGGAAAACAAUCCAGACCGCCAGCUAAGGCCCCAAAAUUAUAGUUAAGUGGGAAACGAUGUGGGAAGGCAUAGACAGCUAGGAGGUUGGCUUAGAAGCAGCCACCCUUUAAAGAAAGCGUAAUAGCUCACUAGUCGAGUCGGCCUGCGCGGAAGAUGUAACGGGGCUAAAACUAUAUGCCGAAGCUGCGGAUUUGCAAUUUAUUGCAAGUGGUAGGGGAGCGUUCUGUAAGCCGAUGAAGGUGUAUUGAGAAGUAUGCUGGAGGUAUCAGAAGUGCGAAUGCUGACGUGAGUAACGACAAUGCGAGUGAAAAACUCGCACGCUGAAAGACCAAGGGUUCCAGUCCAACGUUAAUCGGGGCUGGGUGAGUCGACCCCUAAGGCGAGGCCGAGAGGCGUAGUCGAUGGGAAAUUGGUUAAUAUUCCAAUACUUCUAUGUAAUGCGAUGAGAGGACGGAGAAGGUUAAGUCAGCCUGGCGUUGGUUGUCCAGGUGGAAGACAGUAGGCAUGCAUCUUAGGCAAAUCCGGGGUGCUCUAUGCUGAGAGUCGAUAUCAAGCUGUACUUGUACAGUGAAGUGGCUGAUACCAUGCUUCCAGGAAAAGUCUCUAAGCUUCAGUUACAUAGGAAUCGUACCCGAAACCGACACAGGUGGUCAGGUCGAGUAGACCAAAGCGCUUGAGAGAACUCUGCUGAAGGAACUAGGCAAAAUGGUACCGUAACUUCGGGAGAAGGUACGCUGCUGACGGUGAUAGGAUUUACUCCUUGAGCUAUUGGCAGCCACAGAAACCAGGCCCCUGCAACUGUUUAUUAAAAACAUAGCACUCUGCAAACACGAAAGUGGACGUAUAGGGUGUGAUGCCUGCCCGGUGCUGGAAGGUUAAUUGAUGGGGUUAGCGUAAGCGAAGCUCUUGAUCGAAGCCCCAGUAAACGGCGGCCGUAACUAUAACGGUCCUAAGGUAGCGAAAUUCCUUGUCGGGUAAGUUCCGACCCG